AUUGAACGCUGGCGGCAGGCCUAACACAUGCAAGUCGGACGAGUGGCGGACGGGUGAGUAAUGUCUGGGAAACUGCCUGAUGGAGGGGGAUAACUACUGGAAACGGUAGCUAAUACCGCAUACCAUCAGAUGUGCCCAGAUGGGCUUAGCUAGUUGGUGGGGUAACGGCUCACCAAGGCGACGAUCCCUAGCUGGUCUGAGAGGAUGACCAGCCACACUUGAACUGGGACACGGUCCAGACUCCGACGGGAGGCAACAGUGGGGAAUAUUGCACAAUGGACGCAGGCCUGAUGCAGCCAUGCCGCGUGUAUGAAGAAGGCCUUCGGGUUGUAAAGUACUUUCAGCGGGGAGGCGUUACCCGCAGAAGAAGCACCGGCUAACUCCGUGCCAGCAGCCGCGGUAAUUC
rnacentral:rRNA from 1 species